rnacentral:rRNA from 1 species
UACGUAGGGUGCUAGCGUUGUCCGGAAUCAUUGGGCGUAAAGAGCGUGUAGGCGGCCCGGUAAGUCCGCUGUGAAAGUCGGGGGCUCAACCCUCGAAAGCCGGUGGAUACUGUCGGGCUAGAGUGCGGAAGAGGCGAGUGGAAUUCCUGGUGUAGCGGUGAAAUGCGCAGAUAUCAGGAGGAACACCUAUGGCGAAGGCAGCUCUCUGGGACGGUACUGACGCUGAGACGCGAAAGCGUGGGGAGCGAACAGG